GGGGGGGGCAAUCUUCCACUCUCUAAAAAAAUCGUCUUGGAUCAAGACAAAGUUAAAAUGUAACCUUCUCAAAAAUUCAAAAAUUCUUCGAUCGAAGGACAAUUUUUGGCCAAAAUAAACAUUGAAAACUUUAUAAUACUGUGGAUCCUAUACACCCCCCCCCCCCCCCCCCCCGAAACACAAAGGGUAAAGCCCUUGUAAAAUUUCCACAAGAAACUUAAUAGUUGGCUUCCAGAAAUAAUUUCUAUUUAUGAGGUCUACAGUUUGCCACCAAAUGUGGGAAAACCACAAGAAAAACAUAUGUGAGAGACAAAAAGCCAGGAAACAUGAGUGGAAGGACCGUCUAACAAUGACGAAAACUCGAAGAAGGAUGAAAAUCUAAAUCCAAUCGUCCUAGCAAAAUGGAAUGCUAGGAGAAGGAGAAUUCGGUUGUCCUAACAAGACUAUGCCGAAUUUUUCUGAUCAUAGAAUUUUUAGAUUUGCUUAUUACCCUUACAUUCAGCCAUAUGAAGAUCAUAAACUAGCCUUUAGGAGUAAACAAUGUGUUUUCCUUUGUUAUGUCAGCCAAUAAAAGGGCUAUCGCUGCCUAGAUUUUGACAUUGGCUGAUCUUUAUAUCCAAACAUGUCGUGUUUGAUGAAGAGAUAUUCACGAUAUUGGACAGAAGUCUCUCCUCUUCCAGUCCCUUGAGUGCUCAUUUGCCAGGUAUGACGAGUAUUGAUUAUUAUGAAACAUUUUCUCUAGUAGUGAAGUCAACUGCUAUCAAAUUAAUGUUGGCUCUUUUAAAUGGAAUAUCUGGUAAUUGGAAGUCGCCAAUGCCUUUCUCCAUGGGAUUCUGGAUGAAGAGUGUAAAUGGAAUAAUUGAAGGAUUUUAUACACUAAAGUUUCCAAAUUAUGAAUGUCGAUUAAUUGCGCAACACUUUACAUCUUGAAACAAGCUCUUAGAGCUUGGUUUAGGCUUCUAUCACAACAACUGAUCUUGGCUAUUAGGAAUCAAAGAUGAAUUACUCCUUGUUUAAAUAUUGUAUAACAAUUUAUGAUUCGUUUUAGCAUAAGUCGAUGAAUCAUUGUCACAGGAUCAAAUCAGUCCAUGCUUGAUUUUAUCGAACAAUUAAAG
rnacentral:lncRNA from 1 species